CCUACGGGAGGCAGCAGUGGGGAAUUUUGGACAAUGGGCGCAAGCCUGAUCCAGCCAUGCCGCGUGUGGGAAGAAGGCCUUCGGGUUGUAAACCACUUUUGUCAGGGAAGAAACGGUCUGAACUAAUACUUUGGACUAAUGACGGUACCUGAAGAAUAAGCACCGGCUAACUACGUGCCAGCAGCCGCGGUAAUACGUAGGGUGCAAGCGUUAAUCGGAAUUACUGGGCGUAAAGCGUGCGCAGGCGGCUUUGCAAGACAGAUGUGAAAUCCCCGGGCUCAACCUGGGAACUGCAUUUGUGACUGCAUGGCUAGAGUACGGUAGAGGGGGAUGGAAUUCCGCGUGUAGCAGUGAAAUGCGUAGAUAUGCGGAGGAACACCGAUGGCGAAGGCAAUCCCCUGGACCUGUACUGACGCUCAUGCACGAAAGCGUGGGGAGCAAACAGGAUUAGAUACCCUGGUAGUCCACGCCCUAAACGAUGUCAACUGGUUGUUGGGAGGGUUUCUUCUCUGUAGAGACUACGCGUGAGUAGACGCCGUGGAGGUACGGCCGCGAGUAGAACGUACGAAGAAGUAGUACGGCGUGAGACGUGCCGACGGACGACGACGAGGGAGGAGG
rnacentral:rRNA from 1 species